AGGACAGCAAAGCUGAUUACUCCUUAAUCCUGCAGAGGUUCAACCAGGAGCAGUGGGAGUACUACCACACCCACAUCCCCAACAUCUUCCAGAAAAUCCAAGAGAUGGAGGAGAGGAGGAUUGUGCGCAUUGGAGAGUCCAUGAAGACGUAUGCAGAGGUGGACCGGCAGGUGAUACCCAUCAUCGGGAAGUGCCUGGACGGUAUAGUGAAGGCGGCCGAGUCUAUUGACCAGAAAAACGACUCCCAGCUAGUCGUAGAAGCCUAUAAGUCAGGAUUCGAGCCUCCCGGAGACAUUGAAUUCGAAGAUUACACACAGCCCAUGAAACGCACGGUGUCAGACAACAGCCUUUCCAGUUCCAAAGAAGGCAAGCCCGAGCUCAAGUUUGGAGGCAAGUCCAGAGGCAAGCUCUGGCCGUUCAUCAAGAAAAACAAGCUUUCGCUCAAGCUGGGUGUCACCCCGGAAGACUUCAGCAACUUCCCGCCUGAGCAGAGAAGGAAAAAACUACAACAGAAA
rnacentral:lncRNA from 1 species